rnacentral:rRNA from 1 species
CUUGGGAACAUGCCUUGAGGUGGGGACAACAGUUGGAAACGACUGCUAAUACCGCAUAAUGUCUUCGGACCAAAGGAGGGGAUCUUCGGACCUUUCGCCUUUAGAGUGGCCCAAGUGAGAUUAGCUAGUUGGUGGGGUAAAGGCUCACCAAGGCGACGAUCUCUAGCUGGUUUGAGAGGAUGAUCAGCCACACUGGGACUGAGACACGGCCCAGACUCCUACGGGAGGCAGCAGUGGGGAAUAUUGCACAAUGGGGGAAACCCUGAUGCAGCCAUGCCGCGUGUGUGAAGAAGGCCUUCG